UACGGUAGGGUGCAAGCGUUGUUCCGGAAUUAUUGGGCGUAAAGCGCGUGUAGGUGGGAUGGUGUGGUCAGAAUGUGAAAUCCCUGGGCUCAACCCAAGGACUGCACCUGAAACUACCAGUCUUGAGUGGUGGAGAGGGAAGUGGAAUUCCGUGGUGAUAGAGGUGAAAUUCGUAGAUAUCAGGAGGAACACCGAGUGGCGAAGGCGGCUUCCGUGGAC
rnacentral:rRNA from 1 species